rnacentral:miRNA from 1 species
AAUUGUCAGAUUGCUUUUC